GGCGGCGUGGCUCAAUGAAUAGGGAGUCUAACUUCGGAUCAGAAGGUUGUGGGUUCGAGUCCCAUCGUCGUCG